rnacentral:rRNA from 1 species
UUGAACGCUGGCGGCAGGCCUAACACAUGCAAGUCGAACGGUAACAGGAAACAGCUUGCUGUUUCGCUGACGAGUGGCGGACGGGUGAGUAAUGUCUGGGAAACUGCCUGAUGGAGGGGGAUAACUACUGGAAACGGUAGCUAAUACCGCAUAACGUCGCAAGACCAAAGAGGGGGACCUUCGGGCCUCUUGCCAUCGGAUGUGCCCAGAUGGGAUUAGCUAGUAGGUGGGGUAACGGCUCACCUAGGCGACGAUCCCUAGCUGGUCUGAGAGGAUGACCAGCCACACUGGAACUGAGACAUGGUCCAGACUCCUACGGGAGGCAGCAGUGGGGAAUAUUGCACAAUGGGCGCAAGCCUGAUGCAGCCAUGCCGCGUGUAUGAAGAAGGCCUUCGGGUUGUAAAGUACUUUCAGCGGGGAGGAAGGGAGUAAAGUUAAUACCUUUGCUCAUUGACGUUACCCGCAGAAGAAGCACCGGCUAACUCCGUGCCAGCAGCCGCGGUAAUACGGAGGGUGCAAGCGUUAAUCGGAAUUACUGGGCGUAAAGCGCACGCAGGCGGUUUGUUAAGUCAGAUGUGAAAUCCCCGGGCUCAACCUGGGAACUGCAUCUGAUACUGGCAAGCUUGAGUCUCGUAGAGGGGGGUAGAAUUCCAGGUGUAGCGGUGAAAUGCGUAGAGAUCUGGAGGAAUACCGGUGGCGAAGGCGGCCCCCUGGACGAAGACUGACGCUCAGGUGCGAAAGCGUGGGGAGCAAACAGGAUUAGAUACCCUGGUAGUCCACGCCGUAAACGAUGUCGACUUGGAGGUUGUGCCCUUGAGGCGUGGCUUCCGGAGCUAACGCGUUAAGUCGACCGCCUGGGGAGUACGGCCGCAAGGUUAAAACUCAAAUGAAUUGACGGGGGCCCGCACAAGCGGUGGAGCAUGUGGUUUAAUUCGAUGCAACGCGAAGAACCUUACCUGGUCUUGACAUCCACGGAAGUUUUCAGAGAUGAGAAUGUGCCUUCGGGAACCGUGAGACAGGUGCUGCAUGGCUGUCGUCAGCUCGUGUUGUGAAAUGUUGGGUUAAGUCCCGCAACGAGCGCAACCCUUAUCCUUUGUUGCCAGCGGUCCGGCCGGGAACUCAAAGGAGACUGCCAGUGAUAAACUGGAGGAAGGUGGGGAUGACGUCAAGUCAUCAUGGCCCUUACGACCAGGGCUACACACGUGCUACAAUGGCGCAUACAAAGAGAAGCGACCUCGCGAGAGCAAGCGGACCUCAUAAAGUGCGUCGUAGUCCGGAUUGGAGUCUGCAACUCGACUCCAUGAAGUCGGAAUCGCUAGUAAUCGUGGAUCAGAAUGCCACGGUGAAUACGUUCCCGGGCCUUGUACACACCGCCCGUCACACCAUGGGAGUGGGUUGCAAAAGAAGUAGGUAGCUUAACCUUCGGGAGGGCGCUUACCACUUUGUGAUUCAUGACUGGGGUG